GCUUCGUUAGCGUAGUUGGAUUAUCGCAUCCGUCUAAUACACGGUGCCUCAGAAUCGACUCUGAGUUUUCUCAUAUUAACAACGGAAGGUCACUGGUUCGAGCCCAGUACGGAGCA
rnacentral:tRNA from 1 species